UCUCACGACGUCUCGGUCUGGUUUUCUUUUACUGUCUGGCCGCGCUCUCCAUCCCAGCCCCCAUCGGAUCCGUCGUUCCCUCCCUCUCGCUCUCUCUCCCCCUCACUCUCUGGUGCUCUCCCUUCCAUCCUUCCUUCCCUCCCUCCCUCCACCAGUCCCGCAGACAUCCAGUCAGACAGCCCAGAUGGAAAAUGUGACUGAAUGGACUUUGAGAUAAUAUGCAAGUCAGUUGGCACGCUCCUCAAAAGCAGCCACACGGUGAAAAUGGAUUGAAAAUAUUGAUGAACGAUUGUUCAAUGACACCCUCCACAAACCCAACUUAUUGAUCGUUUGUCUUGAGAGAGCGCCGAGGACCGAAAGAAGUGGGUGGGAUCGAGAGUGUCACAUUUCCCUACAUCGGGAAUGUUGCGCAUUUUCUCCCAACCUUUUCAAAAAUGUUGAUAUGAUGGCACGCUCCCGCUGGUGCGUUCGCUGGCAAUUUAUAAAGGAGGAAUUCUCAGUUUCCUCUCUACUCACUUUGACUUUAAAAAAAAAAAAAAAAGAUGUGUCCACAAAUCCUCAGUUUGAUCCAAACUGGUCCUUUAUUGUAAAUGUACAGCUUUAAAAAUGGUGCGUUCACUGAUGCAUUCCAAGGGAGGAAUCCUCAGCUUUUGCUCUUUCUAUUUGACUCUCAUGCGCUCGAGUCUUUUUUUGGGAUGGUUCAUCAUUCCCAACAUCUGGUAAAGUUGGUUAGCAGCCGCGUUCAUCUGAGCCUCUGCCACGUACUCAUGCUAUUAACCCUCACCGUUCUUAUAUUUGAAGUAUGUACUCUUUUUUUUGCUGCAAAUGUUCUGUUUCGGAUAUUGCUGUGAACUGUUAACACAAAAAAGUAGAGUGCAAGAGUUGAGCGAUUAAAAGUGGAGGUGGAAAUGCAGUCUGGAAUUGUCGUCUUCGUAUGUGAGGCUGGAAGUAGGAGGUGGCAAAGACAGACAACAGAAAGAGAGAGAGAGAGAGAGAGAGAGAGAGAGAGAGAAUUUGCACGUUAUGGAAGCGCUAGAAGUGAAGAAAAAAAAAAAGAGAAGGUAAAUUCAAACAGAGAGAGAGAGAGAGGCUAGAAAUGGAAAAAAGUAAAUGACUCAUGCUCUCCUCUCGGCUCUAAGGACAGAAAUGUUGUGACUUUGGUGUGAUCAAAAGUAUUGGGACACACCUCUAUCAGUAAUUUCCACGCAGAGGUUGGAAGGCGUCCAUUAUGUAUGCUUUGUCCCGUUUUGCUUGCUGUGGAGAAACAGCAAAAAUGUACAAAAGAUCUCAAUUGGGAAGUGGCACUGGUCAGUACACCUUCACAAAAGUUGCACAAAAAGUUAUUUGUGUUCCAUCGUCUUGAAUCCAUUUUGGGUCUCCGAGUCCUCAGUGAGUGCUGAUCGUCUGCACGCCACAUGGGGGGUGACACGACAAGAAAUAGCAGCCAUGUUUUUGGACCUGUGGGCAAGACAGGAAGUUCUGAGUGACUUGUGUGCACACUGGCUUUACAUGUUACAUCACUCAGGUUAGUAGAAGAAGACAACGAAGAAGAAAGCUGAGCUGCAGCUCCACUCUGCUGAGCAGUUGAGAAGGAGAAGAAAAAAAAAAAAAAGGCUGUGAGCAGAAGGCCGCUGACGACAUCUCGCCAUGGCUUCCCGAUCUGUAGCCUGUGUUUACUUGUCUUCUGGGGGUCAAGCCCAACCCAAGGUGCAAUCAGGAAGUGUCUCACCAAUCACUGGGCAUGGGCAACAAUACAGGGGAUCCACAGUGUCAGUAUCUGGAGGUGUUCCUCAGGGUGACACCAAAGUAACACCACAUCCAGAAGAACUUGAAACUUGAAGGCCAGUGUAAAAAGUAGAUGGAAGGCAUCCACGUCACAUUUUUUAGGAGAACAGAGGGAGGAGGGGUGGACUUUUUUGACGCCUGCUUCUCAUUGGCUGCAGCCCCUUGCCCGAAUAUAGACGAGUGUCACGUGGCGCUUGAAAGAUGUCUGCUGGCUCACAAGCAUUGGAAAGGCCCGAGCGACUGCGUCCAAAGUGCAACGUUCAUCUGUGCCUCAACAACAGCAACUUUUCUGAAUUCCAAAAGCACACUGAAAGAUUGCUCAAAUUGAGAGGCCUGACAGAGUCCAGAGAGAAGGGGCUGCGCUUGCCGAAAAGGAUUGUCGCACUCUCGUGACUCCGCAACAUCACGUCCCACCGCAACGGUCGUAGUGUUGGCUCGUGAGUGAACCGUUCGUUGAGAAGAAGGCUGGCUCCACGUCGGCUGCUGCUCGUCCAUCCAUCUGCAUAUCUCGAAAGAGUAAACAAUCAAUCACAACAAAGUAACAAGUUGAAUGGCAGUCCGCUCAUUGCAGAGUGGUGGACAGCCAGUGGGACGAGUGGACAGCCAGUGGGACGAGUGGACGGCCAGUGGGACGAGUGGACGGCCAGUGGGACGAGUGGUCGGCCAGUGGGACGAGUGGUCGGCCAGUGGGACGAGUGGUCGGCCAGUGGGACGAGUGGUCGGCCAGUGGGACGAGUGGUCGGCCAGUGGGACAAGUGGUCGGCCAGUGGGACGAGUGGUACUCCAUGCCUGGACCUGAGACAAAAAAGAUCGCGGAGGAUUCUUCAGGCUGCACAGACGUUGAAGACAAACUGUGGCAGGUUUUACACUUUCUGGCCCUGGAUUUGCCACCUUUGCCUGGAAAGAAAAAAGGAACAUUGACACGACUGCAUUUAAGUUUACUGCUUUUGUUUUUUUACUGUAGAGUGGAAGCAGCCAGUCGCUGGUGCACAGGCAGAGUUCCUCAAAUGUUGUAAAAAUUUUCCAGGAUGGACACCUGCACACAACACAAUCAAGCUGCCAUUUAGUACAUUUUAUUUGUACAUCAACUCUGAAAACGAGGCAGUUUUGUGGAAACAGAAACUAGGUCCUUUGGCCUCCACCUGGUGGACAAAAUGAGGAAGAACAUGCUGAAAUGUUAGGCAUGUGUCAAACAUUUGGACGCGUGCGUGUUUUACCAGUGACGAAUGGAGGGCAGGGCUGGACGUCUCUCCAACCGCAGCUCGCUGGUCUGAAAGACACGGUAACGUUAACACCAUUCUGCUUUGACAUUUUCAGCCUAACAAGCAAAUUGAGCAAGAGUAGACCUGAAAAUGUCUCAUGAAGCCAUGCGAGGACUGCAAGGUGGCCAUUUUGGACUCUGCAGACAAAAGAAAAAGAACAAAUGUUUGCUUUAGUCAAUUUGACAAGAUGCCUUGCUAAUAAAAAUAUUUUUGCCA